GCAACACUACUUAACUUUUUUUGUCCAGGCAGGACUUGGACUGGCCCUGAUCAGGUUUGGCCCCAUGACAGGAAGACUGAAGGACUACCUUGCGAAAGGAAAAGCCAAUUUACCAUUAAACAUUCAAUAAAGAAAAGACAACAAAGAAAAUCCUCUUGUAAUCACAUUGCAUGCUCAAGACACCUUUCAUGGGAAGGUCUUUGGAGAGUUAUUUUAGUAGCUGAAUUUUCAUCACAACAGCACCUACAAUUGUCAAGUACCCACAACCAAUGACUCUUCAUGAGGGCUCUGGAAGCACCAGCUUCUAUUCUUCAUAGGUGGCAAAGUUCAGAAACGAAAAUCGGCACUGACAAAGCAUGGCGUUCCUUCCUAUAAGCCUCCUGCGGAUUCAUCCUACUUUAGGUAGGAAGUUAACCUGACUUCCAGGUCACAAACAUUAGCAUGCAUGGGGAUCGUUAGUAGAAAAAGGAAAAAGAUAUGAGCCAGCC
rnacentral:lncRNA from 1 species